AUUGAACGCUGGCGGCGUGCUUAACACAUGCAAGUCGAGCGGUAACGCGGGGGCAACCCUGGCGACGAGCGGCGAACGGGUGCGUAAUACAUGGGAAUCUGCCCUGUAGUGGGGAAUAACCCGGCGAAAGCCGGGCUAAUGCCGCAUACGAUCUACGGAUGAAAGCGGGGGACCUUCGGGCCUCGCGCUAUUGGAUGAGCCCAUGUCGGAUUAGCUAGUUGGUGAGGUAACGGCUCACCAAGGCGACGAUCCGUAGCUGGUCUGAGAGGACGACCAGCCACACUGGGACUGAGACACGGCCCAGACUCCUACGGGAGGCAGCAGUGGGGAAUAUUGGACAAUGGGGGAAACCCUGAUCCAGCGACGCCGCGUGUGUGAAGAAGGCCUGCGGGUUGUAAAGCACUUUCAGU
rnacentral:rRNA from 1 species